rfam:Cucumis melo, WGS project CAJI01000000 data, contig: 08148
AUCAGAAAGCGAUAUUGGUGAGGUUCAAUCUGAAGAUGGAUUUUACAACGAUUGUGAAGUACGAUCUCUGAUUGAGCCGCGCCAAUAUCACUUUUGUAUUA